UACGUAGGGGGCAAGCGUUGUCCGGAUUUAUUGGGCGUAAAGAGCGUGUAGGCGGCCAGACAGGUCAGCUGUGAAAACUCGAGGCUCAACCUCGAGACGUCGGUUGAAACCGUCUGGCUAGAGUCCGGAAGAGGAGAGUGGAAUUCCCGGUGUAGCGGUGAAAUGCGCAGAUAUCGGGAAGAACACCCGUGGCGAAGGCGGCUCUCUGGGACGGUACUGGACGCUGAGGCGCGAAAAGCCAGGGGAGCAAGCAGGGAUU
rnacentral:rRNA from 1 species